rnacentral:rRNA from 1 species
CAUGCAAGUCGAGCGAUGAGAUCACUUCGGUGAAGGAUUAGCGGCGAACGGGUGAGGAACACGUGAAGAAUCUGCCUUCAACUCUGGGAUAACUCCGGGAAACCGGGGCUAAUACCGGAUAUGAGCCUUGAUCGCAUGAUCGGGGCUGGAAAGUUUUUCGGUUGAAGAUGACUUCGCGGCCUAUCAGCUUGUUGGUGAGGUAAUGGCUCACCAAGGCGACGACGGGUAGCCGGCCUGAGAGGGCGACCGGCCACACUGGGACUGAGACACGGCCCAGACUCCUACGGGAGGCAGCAGUGGGGAAUAUUGGGCAAUGGACGAAAGUCUGACCCAGCGACGCCGCGUGCGGGAUGAAGGCCUUCGGGUUGUAAACCGCUUUCAGCAGGGAAUAAGCGCAAGUGAAGGUACCUGCAGAAGAAGCACCGGCUAACUAUGUGCCAGCAGCCGCGGUAAUACAUAGGGUGCAAGCGUUGUCCGGAAUUAUUGGGCGUAAAGAGCUCGUAGGUGGUUUGUUACGUCGGUUGUGAAAUUCAGGGGCUCAACCCCUGACUUGCAGCCGAUACGGGCAAGCUAGAGUUUGGUAGGGGAGACUGGAAUUCCUGGUGUAGCGGUGGAAUGCGCAGAUAUCAGGAGGAACACCGAUGGCGAAGGCAGGUCUCUGGGCCAAUACUGACACUGAGGAGCGAAAGCGUGGGGAGCGAACAGGAUUAGAUACCCUGGUAGUCCACGCCGUAAACGGUGGGCGCUAGUUGUGCGAACCUUCCACGGUUUGUGCGACGCAGCUAACGCAUUAAGCGCCCCGCCUGGGGAGUACGAUCGCAAGAUUAAAACUCAAAGGAAUUGACGGGGCCCCGCACAAGCAGCGGAGCAUGCGGCUUAAUUCGACGCAACGCG